AUGUAUUACAUCUCAAACCCAUGGCCAGGGUUCCGAAUAAGAGAUUCGUGGGUUUCCGUCUGUCGUCUGUUUUGAUUUCAAACAUGUUGUGUAUGUUCGCGAGUAGAAAUAAAAAAUAUUUAAUAUUUUGUGGCUAUUAAUAACAAAAUAUCAAGUGCUAAAACGCCGAUUAAGUCCCCGUGCUUGAGACAUUGUCAACUAAAUCGAAUAUUAAACACACACACAACGAAACGCGCAACAAAACGUCCAUUAAAUCAAACGGCCAAGCAGAGGCAGACCAAGGCAAUAGCAGCAACAACAAAAUCAUAUAUAUACAUAUAUACAUACAAAUAUUGAAAAGUGCUUAAGUGUGCUGAAAAGGAUAGGUGGAAUCCGUUUUGUUAAUAUUUAAUAAGGAGUGCCAGCGGUAUAAUUCAAACGAAUGAAAUGCUGUAGACAACGAAUUUUCAUUGCAUUCUCUUCGCCUCCCCCACCUCUGGCCCAUAGACCGGCGAUCAGAGUUGCCAGAGGAUGACUAAUUGGUUUAAUUGUGCCUCUUCCGUCUUGUUGACAAUUUCUUUUACUCUUUUUUUUGUUGUUAUUCGCAUUUGAAUUUGUUGAACGUUCUACACACUAUUAACUCCAUGAAUCCUCCCUACCUGUGCAAUUCGCCAUUAAUUAAUUAUUUGUUACACACACAAAAGAGCGGAAUCCCCUAGUUGAGCAUUAAAAAUCAAAAUGAAUAACUUCCUUUUCAAAUUUGCCAUUCAAAUCGCGUCCAGUCGCUGAAGCAACAAUCAAUUUACACCCGUCCAAACCCACCACGCUCGCCAGGAUUACGCCAAGAACAUUGUCUUCAGCAUAUCCAACAUCAUCAUCAUCGCCAUCAUUAUCAACAAUCUGGAAUGAAGGCACAUGAGCAAAACAUCUUAAAAAAUAAUCUAAAGUUUUAGAGGCCAAAGAAACUUUGGAUUCAAGUCUUGAAUCAGCAGUAAAAGCCGUUUCCAAUCCUCCAGAGAAUUUUAAUACACUUAAUGAGUUAGUAGUCUUAUAUUUGUAUAAAGAGAAACUAAAAGUAGAGUUUUGACUGAGAAAACUUUGAACUAAUCGAUUGUGGUGCAAGGACUUGCUGCAUUUUUGUAGGUGUACGUAAGUAAUUUCCAAUUUCCAGGCACCCAUAAUGGAGUUACAAGAACAUGAGGGAGAGAGUAGUUACAUAUGGCGAUUGUGAGCAUUGAAGGGUAGUGUCUCUGGCGGUUCCACAUGCAAGUCAACACCCCAACUCAAGGGUGGCAAACAUGGAUCAAAACUGAAAGAUUCCGGCAAGGAUACUAUUGAUCCGCCACCCAAAAACUAUCCCCCUGCCGAGGUGAAUUAGGUUGGUGGGCAGCAACGAUGAUGCUAAAGAUGGCAAGGACAGCAAUAACAAGGACGGCAAGGACACCAACGUUAAUUCCUUUUUAGGUGUCUAUACGGAUGUUACCAAAUUUCCAUAUACUGGGUGCCCAACAUCCACCUAAUCUCUUUGGGCAGUUUAAGUGGAGGUACUCGGCGUUUAUGAUUAUUCAGAUAAAUCCAUAGGAUUGCGAGCCGUUGAACCAAUUACAGAUGGUGAUCGUAACUAUAAAAAACGAUUCCAGGCCAUUCUCCAGCCACUCUCGCGUUGUACCACGAAUGUUCCAAAAUACAUUAUCCUUGCUGUCACGUCAGAUGAUCCAACAGUUUCUCGACGAACUGGUGUGGUGAGAAUCUUUUGGCACAUACGCAUUACAGGCAUUUAAAAACAUUAUAAUACAUAUAGCCGAGCAGACCAGAUUGACCAGCAAUGAGACCAUUACCCAAAGGUUCUAUCAGGUGGCCACCAAUCCCUUCAAGGAUUGAAGUAUUUUAAGGGCCAUGUACAAGGAGACACCGGCCAAUGCUGCACCCAAACGGCUUAAGAAACGUUAGUAAUUAGUCAGCCGAGAAUCCUCUAACCUCUUAUCCCUGUUUAUACUUUUAAGAUUGUAAUGAGAAUGACUUAUUUUUUUAACUAGUUAAUUUGCCAGCAUUAUUUAACUCCAAAAAGAAAAACCAAAAACAAACAAACGAUUCAAAAAAAAAAAAAUUUUUGCAUUUAGAUUAGUUUUGUGUACAUAUAAAAUAUCAGCUUAAAAUAAUUUAUCCUAAUUAGCUAUCUAAUUUUGUG